CAGUCGCCGCGGGAAUACGUAGGUCCCGAGCGUUGUCCGGAUUUAUUGGGCGUAAAGCGAGCGCAGGCGGUUAGAUAAGUCUGAAGUUAAAGGCUGUGGCUUAACCAUAGUACGCUUUGGAAACUGUUUAACUUGAGUGCAAGAGGGGAGAGUGGAAUUCCAUGUGUAGCGGUGAAAUGCGUAGAUAUAUGGAGGAACACCGGUGGCGAAAGCGGCUCUCUGGCUUGUAACUGACGCUGAGGCUCGAAAGCGUGGGGAGCAAACAGGAUUAGAGACCCCGGUAGUCCCUGUCUCUUAUACA
rnacentral:rRNA from 1 species